AGAUUGAACGCUGGCGGCAUGCCUUACACAUGCAAGUCGAACGGCAGCACGGGAGCAAUCCUGGUGGCGAGUGGCGAACGGGUGAGUAAUAUAUCGGAACGUGCCCAGUCGUGGGGGGAUAACGUAGCGAAAGCUACGCUAAUACCGCAUACGAUCCAUGGAUGAAAGCGGGGGAUCGCAAGACCUCGCGCGAUUGGAGCGGCCGAUAUCAGAUUAGGUUGUUGGUGGGGUAAAAGCUUACCAAGCCUGCGAUCUGUAGCUGGUCUGAGAGGACGACCAGCCACACUGGAACUGAGACACGGUCCAGACUCCUACGGGAGGCAGCAGUGGGAAUUUUGGACAAUGGGCGCAAGCCUGAUCCAGCAAUGCCGCGUGCAGGAUGAACGGCCGUUCGGUUGUAAACUGUCUUUUGUAACGGAACGAAACGGUCUACCUUACGUAAGUACGGGGGUCUAAGUGGAACGGUACCGUAAAGAAUUAAGACACCGGACUAACGUACGUAGA
rnacentral:rRNA from 1 species